rnacentral:rRNA from 1 species
GUCUAUGGCCAUAUCACCCAGAAUGUGCCCGAUCUCAUCUGAUCUCGGAGGCUUAGCAGGGUCGGGCCUGGUUAGUACUUGGAAGGGAGAAGAACAGGGCAGGAGGACA